UACGGGGGGGGCAAGCGUUGUUCGGAAUUACUGGGCGUAAAGGGCCAGUAGGCGGCCAACUAAGUCGGAUGUGAAAUCCCCGGGCUUAACCUGGGAACUGCACUUGAAACUACGAUGCUGGAGUAUGGCAGAGGGAGGUGGAAUUCCACGUGUAGCGGUGAAAUGCGUAGAGAUGUGGAGGAACACCGAUGGCGAAGGCAGCCUCCUGGGCCAAUACUGACGCUCAUGCACGAAAGCGUGGGGAGCAAACAGG
rnacentral:rRNA from 1 species